rnacentral:misc_RNA from 1 species
GAAAAAGUGGUCUGAUUGAAAUCAAUUGGUGGAUACAGAUACAAUCAUGUUGUCAGCAGAUUGGUAAUUCAGAGUACCUCAAACCAUAUCUGUUUAAGUAAAGUGAAACACUUUCCUCUUUUUCUUUUUGUUAUGAAGUGAGAAAAAGGGAAGACAUUCACUUUGGAGCAGAGCAUAUCCAAAUGGAAACCUAUGUACAUUAGCCGCUUACAGGAUAAUUUUGGAGCUGAUAAGAACUUACAGAAGCAUUGCCCAUUAAUGCUCUGUAGCCUUUUUGUUUUAACUUAU